UACGGGGGGGGCAAGCGUUGUUCGGAAUUACUGGGCGUAAAGGGCGCGUAGGCGGCCUGCUAAGUCGGAUGUGAAAUCCCUCGGCUCAACCGAGGAACUGCAUCCGAUACUGGCGGGCUUGAAUCCGGGAGAGGGAUGCAGAAUUCCAGGUGUAGCGGUGAAAUGCGUAGAUAUCUGGAGGAAUACCGGUGGCGAAGGCGGCAUCCUGGACCGACAUUGACGCUGAACGGCGAAAGCUAGGGGAGCAAACGGG
rnacentral:rRNA from 1 species